rnacentral:sRNA from 1 species
CCGCGUAUUACUACGCGGAGCUCGCGAUC